UACGAAGGGGGCUAGCGUUGUUCGGAAUUACUGGGCGUAAAGCGCACGUAGGCGGAUCGAUCAGUCAGGGGUGAAAUCCCAGGGCUCAACCCUGGAACUGCCUUUGAUACUGUCGAUCUGGAGUAUGGAAGAGGUGAGUGGAAUUCCGAGUGUAGAGGUGAAAUUCGUAGAUAUUCGGAGGAACACCAGUGGCGAAGGCGGCUCUCUGGAACAGUACUGACGCUGAGACGCGAAAGCGUGGGGAGCGAACAGG
rnacentral:rRNA from 1 species